rnacentral:rRNA from 1 species
UGAAAUAUAAAUAGCCGCAAUAUUAGUGCUAAGGUAGCAUAAUCAUUUGUCUUUUAAAUGAAGACUAGAACAAAAGAUUUAACAUUUCAAUUUAUUUAUUUGAUAUAUAAAUUAAACUUUUCCUAAACGUAAAAAGACGUUUAUAAAUAAGAAAGACGACAAGACCCUAUUGAACUUAACUUAAGUUAAACUGGGGCAGUUAAUCAAUUAAAAUUUAUAUUUAAUUUUUAUUUAAAUAAACCAAUAUAAUUGAAUUACUAAGUUACCAUAGGGAUAACAGCGCAAUUAUAUUUCUAGAGCCCUCAUCUAAAAAAUAGAUUACGACCUCGAUGUUGAAUUAAUGACCUAUUUUAAGCAAAUCCCAAAAAAGGAAGUCUGUUCGACUUUUAAAAAAUUACAUGAUUUGAGUUCAGACCGGUAUAAGCCAGGUCGGUUUCUAUCUUCUAUAACCUUAAUUUUACAGUACGAAAGGACCUAAAAUAAUAUUUAAUAUUUUAUUAGCAGAACAGUGCAUUAGAAUUAGAAUCUAAUUAGACU